rnacentral:rRNA from 1 species
GAAUCUAGCUUCAGGUCGGGGACAACCACGGGAAACGGUGGCUAAUACCGGAUAUGCCGAAAGGUGAAAGGCUUGCCGCCUGAAGAUGAGCUCGCGUCUGAUUAGCUAGUAGGUGUGGUAAAAGCGCACCUAGGCGACGAUCAGUAGCUGGUCUGAGAGGAUGAUCAGCCACACUGGGACUGAGACACGGCCCAGACUCCUACGGGAGGCAGCAGUGGGGAAUUUUCCGCAAUGGGCGAAAGCCUGACGGAGCAAUACCGCGUGAGGGAGGAAGGCUCUUGGGUUGUAAACCUCUUUUCUCAGGGAAGAAAAAAAUGACGGUACCUGAGGAAUAAGCAUCGGCUAACUCCGUGCCAGCAGCCGCGGUAAUACGGAGGAUGCAAGCGUUAUCCGGAAUGAUUGGGCGUAAAGGGUCCGCAGGUGGCUAUGUAAGUCUGCUGUUAAAGAACCUAGCUUAACUAGGUAAAAGCAGUGGAAACUACAAGGCUAGAGUGCGUUCGGGGUAGAGGGAAUUCCUGGUGUAGCGGUGAAAUGCGUAGAUAUCAGGAAGAACACCAGUGGCGAAGGCGCUCUACUAGGCCGCAACUGACACUGAGGGACGAAAGCUAGGGGAGCG